GCCGGUCGGGUUCGCCCAGAAGGAGGCGGAGGGGACGGAGGCCUCGGGCACCGGGCCGCGCGGCCUCUUCCCGCCAGGCGUCCCCAGCUGCCCUCGCUCCCGGGCCCCGCCAUCUCAUUUGCCGCCUUCCGACGCGUGACUCCGGCGCGCUCGCGUCCCGGGCCGGUGACAGGCGCGGGGUGCGCCCAGCGGCUCCAUGUGCCCCCUCCCUCUCGCGGCCGCCGCAGUCGCCGGGCCCCGAAGCCAGCUCCGGCUCCUCGGCAGAGGGCUCGCCGCCGCCAUGUCUACCGCCAGGCCCCUCAAAUCCGUGGACUACGAGGUGUUCGGGAGAGUGCAGGGUGUCUGCUUCAGAAUGUACGCAGAAGAUGAGGCUAGGAAAAUAGGAGUGGUUGGCUGGGUGAAGAAUACCAGCAAAGGCACUGUGACAGGCCAAGUGCAAGGCCCUGAAGAGAAAGUCAAUUCCAUACCUGAGCCACACCUAUCAAGGGCUGACUGCAAGAGCAGCACAUGAAGAGUGAGGUCUUAGGGCUUGCCAAGUGACAGGUGACCAGAGCAUCCUAGGAAGUCCUGGCUGAGCAAGGUUGGAAGUCCUAGCUCUCGCAUUGACCGCACGAACUUUUCUAAUGAAAAAACCAUUUCUAAACUUGAAUACUCUAAUUUUAGUGUUCGAUACUAAUAGAAGAGAAAUAAAAAUUGUACUGCUUAUAAUGCAUAAUAGACAUUAUAUACUAUUAACUCUAGAUACUAGAAUAAUAGUAGCAGAGUAGGGUGAAAAAAGGAAAUUUCUGUUCUGAAAGCUACAACAUUGUAUAUGUUACUAAAAAUGUCUUACACUGAAAUACUUUUGCUCAACUAUGUUUCUAACAAGCAAAAAUUUAGUAUCCUAAAAUAAAAAAUGUCAUUACAAAAUAUUUAAUACAAAUAUUUAAACUUGUCUCAUGGAAUCUUUAAUUGUAAUGAAUAUUAUAGCAUACAUGUUAUUUGGCUAGACAUAAAAUAAUAAAGUUAACCGUUUAAACAUUA